CGGUGGAUAUUUUUGGCAAUUUGGUCGAUUGUCAUCCUCCCAUUUGACAGAGUUGUCAAACUGUUAUUAUUUAUAUUAUAUGUAACAAUGGGUCGGAGAAAUAAAAAGGCAAAUGUGAAAAAAUUAUGGUGGGACCGUAAAAGGUACAAAAUGCCUCAUCUUAUAACGAACUAUAGCACCGGACAAUUGGAAAUACAUGAAGGAUUGGCAAAAGAAAUCACUAAAAUUGGAAACAUUAUUCGUUCUAACUGGAAACUGACAUUUCAGGUAGAGAAUCGCUGGUUGAGCAUAAAAAACAACUUGAAUUGAACCUCUCGACACAAGUGUGGAUUGAAGAAACCAAACCACAAUUUGCACAAACUUACGCAGAAGAAGUUGCUUUUGAUGGAAUCCCAGACGUAUUUCCCAAAGAAGAAAACACUGAGCAAGAUCCCCUCGAAAUCAUAGGACAAGAAGAAGCGAGCACAAGUGAAACCUUCGACAAAAACAAAACUCUCUUAUCGCUAUCAAAAUUUUUAAAAACGAAAAACAAUAGUAAAAAAGUAACAAUUGAAGACUUGCAGCAGUUUUGCAAAGAGAAGAAAUGUAAAGUAAUUGUGUGUAAAAAUGAUACAAGGGAGCUUAGCGCACAGUUAAAAAUGCAACAACAAAUAAUCGAGACAAUGGAUAAGAAAAUUGAACAAAUCUCGAAAAAAGUCGAUCAGUUAGAGCAACAACAAAAUACAACACAAGGACCAUUCCGUUUAGAUAUUUCUCGAACGUUCGAUUCACCAACAAGUGAAGCUUGUACUAUUUUAUUACCCUCUAGGAAGCCAGAACCUGCAAAUCAACUUAUCAAACCUCCAACACGACCUAUACUAAGUGCUAGAAAAGUGGGCAAAGAUGUUGUUCUUAAAUGGAGAAUGCCUUACUGUUCUAGUAAGGUUUACGCACCUGUUGCAAGUUAUGAAGUCUAUUGUUAUAUAUUGAAUGGUAGUAAAAGAUGGCGGAGGAUGUCUAAAGUGGAAUCGUCUGAACUUUCUAUGACUUUUACUUUAAAGAAUAUUGAUGAUGACUUGAUUUAUUAUUUUGGUGUUCGUGCGAUUGAUGUUUAUAAAAGAAGGGGUUUGUUUAGUACAGAAGUGACUAUUAAUAAUUCCAAGAUAUCUUCCGGUUGUAGCUAGGGUUUUUUCUAUUAAAUAAAAGUUAAAAAAUUA